rnacentral:rRNA from 1 species
UUCGAGUUGGAAAAAGGGUGCUUCGGUACAACCAGCGGCGGACGGGUGAGUAAUGCUUAGGAAUCUGCCUAUUAGUGGGGGACAACAUUCCGAAAGGAAUGCUAAUACCGCAUACGUCCUACGGGAGAAAGCAGGGGAUCAUUUGACCUUGCGCUAAUAGAUGAGCCUAAGUCGGAUUAGCUAGUUGGUGGGGUAAAGGCCUACCAAGGCGACGAUCUGUAGCGGGUCUGAAAGGAUGAUCCGCCACACUGGGACUGAGACACGGCCCAAACUCCUACGGGAGGCAGCAGUGGGGAAUAUUGGACAAUGGGGGAAACUCUGAUCCAGCCAUGCCGCGUGUGUGAAGAAGGCCUUUUGGUUGUAAAGCACUUUAAGCGAGGAGGAGGCUCUCUUGGUUAAUACCUGAGAAGAGUGGACGUUACUCGCAGAAUAAGCACCGGCUAACUCUGUGCCAGCAGCCGCGGUAAUACAGAGGGUGCGAGCGUUAAUCGGAUUUACUGGGCGUAAAGCGCGCGUAGGUGGCUAAUUAAGUCAAAUGUGAAAUCCCCGAGCUUAACUUGGGAAUUGCAUUCGAUACUGGUUGGCUAGAGUAUGGGAGAGGAUGGUAGAAUUCCAGGGGUAGCGGUGAAAUGCGAAAGAUCUGGAGGAUACCGAUGGCGAAGCAGCCAUCUGGCCUAUACUGACACUGAGUGCGAAGCAUGGGGAGCAAACAGAUUAGAUCCCUGGUAUCAUGCCGAAACAUUCUCAUACCCGUUGGGGGAUUGACCCUUAAUGGCCCACUUACCGAAGUAACCCCUGGGGGACCGCCCGGACUUUACUAAUGAUGGAGGGGCCCCCCA